CCUCGAGGGAGUUUUAUCCCCCAGGUGUAGCUAGGACACGAGGGUCUGUGGAAAGGGGCAGUACAGGGGCUUUCCGUCAUCAUCGGUGACUGCGUUUGACUUAAGCAGGGUGGACACAUUGCGCACGUUGUUUUAUUUCCUGGAAGUAAGUUGGGCCUCGACUGCUUUGGAGGGGGUUUGGAAAAAUCCUAUAGACUGAUGGAGUCUUGUGGAUUUCCCGACAGACAACCCCAUUCUUUCCCGUGCCCUCCCCCAUUCCAUCCUCCCCUUCCUGCCCUUCCGUGAUGAUCAGGGGUGAGGGCAUUGCCCUAACAGACUGUAUAUUUCUGAGUGGUGGUCAUUAAUUUUCCUCGGCUUGGCUGAAGAAACCUUCCCGUCACCUCUUUUGAAUGUCGAGCACCGCCUUGGCGUGAAUGAGUUUGACAACAGAACCUUGUUCUGCAGCAAGAGGUUGGCUUGGUUCCACUUCCUAUUAAUUUUCUUGUACAAUUAAGGCACCUAGGAAAAUAGUUGAAGAAAGUUUCCAUUUUGUGGGCUAAUAAUAAAUGCCACAAGGUAGGUUGCCGGUAUUUUGGCUUGGGUUGUGAUUUUUGUACAGAAGGCGUACGAACGAUGGUUACCAUGAAGGUGAAUUAGAAGCACAUAAUGACUUGUCUUUUGAACUUUGGAAAUCCGGAAGUCGAUUUACACAGAUAAUUGUUCUGAAGUUUUCACAUCUCACUUUCGUAUUUGCCCAACAUCCUCGCCAGUUUCGCUUCUUGGAAGGGCAAAUGUUUGGAGACACGUUGUAUAUUCUCCAGCGCUCAAGACUUGAGUUCCCUCCCCCCUCACAGUCUGUAAUUGUGCAGGUUUGUGGAUGGAGCCAGUCUGCGGGGACUCAGCCCAUCCUUUCAGUUUUAAUUAGUUGUGAAAUAUUAGCAGGAAGGCAAAGUUAUUUUACGUUGAAGUGACUUUUUUGGGAAGUGGCAAAUUAAAUUUUAUGGUAACAGCUGUUCGGAGUGGAAUUUGUCAGAAAGUUGAUGAGAAGUGAAUGCUUCCAAUACUCAGAUAUAAAUCCUCAGCUUAAAAAAGGUACAAGCUGCGAAUAAAUGAGGGUGUUGAAAUACAGAAAAAUGUUUUUGUAAAUACAUGUUUUAAAACCUAAGCACUGUGUUUUUUUACAUUACAGCCUAAGUCUUUCAAAAACAAUGAUUGCUCUGAUUUUGCAAUGGGAGUCUUUGUUUAGUUUAGAAGCCAAUAAUGACAUGCUAAAAAAGAAAACAUAGCCUAGUAGGGAAGCUCCCUAAUGGUGAGCAUACUGGAGAAAGAAAGGAACAGGACCUUCGUACAUGCUGUUCCUCUUCCUGGAGUACCGCCUUCCUCACCCCUACCUCCCAUGGACGUAACUUUGCCUCCUUGAUGACUUUCCCUCACUUGCCCGACCUCAGCUCUCAACAGGGAUGUCUUCCUGACUUGGCUAGUUCUUUCUACUGUAAACUCCUACAAGCCUUAUACAGUUCCUCUUAGCACUUACUUUAUAUUUACUUGAAUAAUUCUUUAUUCUUCGAACUCCCUGAGAUAAGACAGAGUUUCCUUAUUAUCUUCUGUUAUUAUCGUGUCAUUGCUGCCUUCGUACAAUGCCUGGCACACCGAUAACUGUUUGUUCAGUGAAGGAGUCCAUAAAUGAAUAGAGUUUGGGAGGCUAGAGGAAGGCUGGUCCAAAGAUUUCGGCCCAUGGCCUCAAGUCCAAAUGCCUUUGGGGCUGGGCAGCCAAAGUAAAUGAGCGGAGUAGACUUUUGAAGCAAUGGGACGUGCUGGGCAAACCAGAUAGAAUGUCUGGGGCGGGGCCCUGCUGAGUGGAUGCUGUCUUACCUCCUUCAGUGGCGACUCCUUCUUUCUACCACAGGGAUGUGGGCUUGGAUGGUGGCAAAUUUGAAGGACUCCCCAGGCAGAUGGGCUGGAGUGGGUGGACUUAAAUAGUAGAGAGAACUGGGGAGGAAGGAUACUGGAGGGCAUGGAAUGCCAGGAAGGUUUCUGAGCGGAGGCGAAAGAUUGUCAGAUCAGGAAGUGUUUAGGAAGGAAAUUUUGACAGCGUGGGAAGCCUUCAAGUGGAUCUGGAGACUUGUGGGUUCGCAGGCUAACGUAAUAGUCCACACCGGAGCUAAGUGAGCCAGGGCCCUGGGAGAAGUGUGGUGGUGGAACCAAUAAUUUACUGUCUGGCAAUAUUUUUGCAAAUACAGAGACAGACACGUAUCAGAAGGAUAGAUUUCUGAAAAUUCUGCUACUCUUCAUCAAAGCCUUUCUGGAAACAACAGAAAUGGCCACUGGAAAAGGAAAUCAUGAGAUUUUAUUAGCAGGUGCUAAAGAAAUAUUCUUGGAAAGAUUGAGGAGAAGCAUCCCUUGCUUUCUCUUCUGACUUGAAAGCUCACCAGACGCCUCAGACGCCUCCUGAAACCUUGAAUAAAAGCAGCCUCAAAACUAUGCCAUGGAGGAUGUUUUGGACCCGCGGACGUCCAGAAGCCACUGCUGUUCUGUGUGCGAUCCUGCUUUGUGUAAAAGUCCCAGGCCUGUGUCCCAGAACUUUGGUACUCAGCUGCACCUGACGUGGGUCUGAAAAUAAUAGGUUGGUAAUAAAGUAGAGUAAAAUAUUAUGGAGCCACUGCA